AAGGAGGAGACUGAAGGUGAAGAACUGAGCGCGCGGUUGCGUGGUGACGUUGCAAGCGCCUGGGGCUUUGAGCGCGUUUGGCCGCGCCCUUGGCGCGCGGUCUCUGGCUUAUGAGGGGCACCCUAGGAAAUCCUGUGCCCCAGCUGCUCCUUCACCAGUCAGGCCACCUGCUCAUCCACACCUCUGUGAACUGACCUCUGUCAUCUGGAGCCAGAAUAUUUGAGAGAAUUGUCCAUACUCAAGAACCAAGUCUUUGGAGAUAUAUACCUGCAGUGUUCCACUAGAAGACAAUUUGAAGACAAAUGUUCCAUGAGCUCUACCUUCCAUCAUAUGGGAUACAUUGAAUAAAAUACUCCUACAAGCUGUCUUCUUCCUAAUU
rnacentral:lncRNA from 1 species